rnacentral:rRNA from 1 species
GGCUGAACCAGCCAAGUCGCGUGAGGGAUGAAGGUUUAUGGAUCGUAAACCUCUUUUAUAAGGGAAUAAGUGCGGGACGUGUCCCGUUUUGUAUGUACCUUAUGAAUAAGGAUCGGCUAACUCCGUGCCAGCAGCCGCGGUAAUACGGAGGAUCCGAGCGUUAUCCGGAUUUAUUGGGUUUAAAGGGUGCGUAGGCGGCCUUUUAAGUCAGCGGUGAAAGUCUGUGGCUCAACCAUAGAAUUGCCGUUGAAACUGGGGGGCUUGAGUAUGUUUGA